rnacentral:tRNA from 1 species
AAGAAUUAGUUAAAUUAACAUUAGUAUGUCAUGCUAAAAUUAUUAGUCAUAACCUAGUAUUCUUUG